UGGCCAGUGUUUGUGACUAAGUGGCUUCUAAAAAAGACUGGACAUACCCCAUAUUGAAUAACCUGGGUUGUCUACUUAAAAAAAAAAAUGUAGAUGUGGGGUGUGAUUCAGAGAUUUAUGACAGAUAAUAGUGUUACAAUGUCACUAUUGAUACAUUUAAAAACAAUAUAUAUUAAAACAGCAAUUUCCUACUUGUACUUAUAGCCA